rnacentral:rRNA from 1 species
CCUACGGGAGGCAGCAGUAGGGAAUAUUGCUCAAUGGGGGAAACCCUGAAGCAGCCACGCCGCGUGGAGGAUGAAGGUUUUCGGAUUUUAAACUCCUUUUGUUAGAGAAGAUAAUGACGGUCUCUAACGAAUAAGCACCGGCUAACUCCGUGCCAGCAGCCGCGGUAAUACGGAGGGUGCAAGCGUUACUCGGAAGCACUGGGCGUAAAGAGCGCGUAGGCGGGAUAGCAAGUCAGAUGUGAAAGCCUAUGGCUUAACCAUAGAACUGCAUUUGAAACUGUUAUUCUAGAGUAUGGGAGAGGUAGGUGGAAUUCUUGGUGUAGGGGUAAAAUCCGUAGAGAUCAAGAGGAAUACUCAUUGCGAAGGCGACCUGCUAGAACAUAACUGACGCUGAUGCGCGAAAGCGUGGGGAGCAAACAGGAUUAGAUACCCUAGUAGUC